CGGAGGAUGCAAGCGUUAUCCGGAUUCAUUGGGUUUAAAGGGUGCGUAGGCGGCCUUUUAAGUCAGUGGUGAAAUCCUGCCGCUUAACGGUAGAAUUGCCAUUGAUACUGAAAGGCUUGAGUUCAGUUGAGGUAAGCGGAAUGUGUAGUGUAGCGGUGAAAUGCUUAGAUAUUACACAGAACACCAAUUGCGAAGGCAGCUUACUAAACUGACACUGACGCUGAUGCGCGAAAGCGUGGGGAGCGAACAGGAUUAGAUACCCUGGUAGUCCACGCCGUAAACGAUGUUCACUCGCUGUUUGCGAUACACAGCAAGCGGCCAAGCGAAAGCAUUAAGUGAACCACCUGGGGAGUACGAUCGCAAGGUUG
rnacentral:rRNA from 1 species